ACUCCUACGGGAGGCAGCAGUGGGGAAUUUUGGACAAUGGGCGAAAGCCUGAUCCAGCAAUGCCGCGUGAGUGAAGAAGGCCUUCGGGUUGUAAAGCUCUUUUGUCAGGGAAGAAACGGUGAGAGCUAAUAUCUUUUGCUAAUGACGGUACCUGAAGAAUAAGCACCGGCUAACUACGUGCCAGCAGCCGCGGUAAUACGUAGGGUGCAAGCGUUAAUCGGAAUUACUGGGCGUAAAGCGUGCGCAGGCGGUUUUGUAAGUCUGAUGUGAAAUCCCCGGGCUCAACCUGGGAAUUGCAUUGGAGACUGCAAGGCUAGAAUCUGGCAGAGGGGGGUAGAAUUCCACGUGUAGCAGUGAAAUGCGUAGAUAUGUGGAGGAACACCGAUGGCGAAGGCAGCCCCCUGGGUCAAGAUUGACGCUCAUGCACGAAAGCGUGGGGAGCAAACAGGAUUAGAAACCCUUGUAGUCCCAUGA
rnacentral:rRNA from 1 species